rnacentral:lncRNA from 1 species
GUAGUUUUGCUUUGUCCUUCCUGAUUGUGACCCUUUUGGUCUUUCUGUUUUUGAUGAUUUUGCAGCCAAAGUUCAGGAACUUAAUGUGUAUGAGAUCAAUGAGAGGGAUCGUGGGAGCCCUGCUUUUCUGAAAUUGAGUCAAAAACCUGUCAACUCCCUCGGCGAUCUCGUCCCCUUCAGUAACAAAGUAAAGUUCUUUAACCUUUUCUUUUUGUAAAUUGUAGAAAAUUUAUUGUUAGCUUUGAUUCUUAGAUGAUCGUUAACUAUAUUUUGGGUUAAAGUUUCAAUUUUUAUACCGUUUACCAAUAAUUAAGUUAAUUUGGUAUAUUUAAACGAUCACAAUCCCCUGACACAUUUUGUCAAAUUUUGUCAAUUUGGUCACCAUAGUUGAAUUUGGUCAAAUCAGCUUUAAAACACCCACAAGCAACAUCUCAGGUCCAAUAGAAAGUCUGAAAUCUGUGUUCUUCAAUAGCUGUAUAAUGUUGUUCAAUUUCUGAACAUGUUUUAGUACCUUGGUUAAUCUUAUUCAAGCUUUUCAUAUAGUUAUCAAUAUUUUGAUCGAAUAUGUCUCAAUGUUUUCCUAUCCUUCUGAUAUUUCAGCUAGCUUCAAUGUCUUGUGAUAUCUGUCCUAGAAUAGUAGAAUCCUGUGGCAUUCUGUUUCUGCUUCCAGAGUUUAUUGAUUGGGAUAUUUUAGUGGCUCUUAAGUUUGUAUGAUAAUUAGUACAAUAUUGCUCCAAAGAUGUGCUCUUUUAUAGGGUCACUUGUUGUUUACCCUGCACUCAUGGGAUUGACAUGUGAAAUUAUUUAGGGUCACUUGUUGAUUCCUAUCAUUAUUUACAUUAAUUGUUACAAAAAGAAAAUGUGACUUUUUCUCAAUUUUCAAUUCUUUGUUCCUACUUUUUUAUCACAUGUAUGUCCUGACUAAUGUUCUAUGUCUCAAUUAUUAGUUGUACACUGGGGACCUGCAAAAGCGAAUUGGAAUAACUGCUGGAAUAUGUGUUCUGAUUGAAAACAAACCAGAAAAGAAAGGUGAUCGCUAUGAGGCGAUCUACAGCUUCUACUUUGGGGACUAUGGGCACAUUGCGGUUCAGGGGUCCUAUCUAACCUACGA